GUUUAUAUAGUUUAAAUAAAACAUUUUAUUUUCAAUAAAAAAAUAAUAACCUCUCAUUAUUUAUAAAUU
rnacentral:tRNA from 1 species